CAAUGAAUUUAAGAUUUAUAUAUAAAAUAAAAAUUUUUAUUAGAA
rnacentral:tRNA from 1 species